ACUCAAUUUUGCGAUGAAACUUAGCUGUUUUUUGACAUUCUGGACUUAGUCGAAUUUACAAUUUCUAUUCUGACAGUUGUGGAGUCGGCGUUCGUCACCAAACGGCGCAGAGUGGAGGAUAAGUUUUGAUAAUGCGUCCCGGAAAAGAUCGGAACUGGAAGAUAGCAUUAGAUGUGAAGGAAACGGUGGACGAGGAAGUGCCAUAAGAGUUUUCACCGGCCAAAUAAGUAGAAAAUAGCGAAGCAGUAACUUUUCCAGCAGAUUCGAUCGACGGAACUUCGCUCUCGUCCACCGUUUUCCCACAUACAUUGUUACCUUCCCGUUCCGAUCUUCUCCGGGAGUUUUCCGUGUUUUUUUAUUUAUUUCUGUUUGACAGGUGGAGCGGGUAAAUUAUGGCAAAGUGUCCCCGGAGAAGAUUGGACCGGAAAGAUAACCUAAAAUGUGAAGGAAACAAAAAAUAGGGCACCUCCGAAUCAACGGAAAUGGAAGAACAAUAACAACAAGUGCAAAUAAACAAUAACUUCCAUGUCCUGGGAAUGGUUCCAGUCCUGAAAGUGGCCAGCGGAAUCUACAAAACCAACUUGACUGGGACGUGGAGGUUUUUGCUCUGACGGAAGCGCCGGGAGUCGAGCUGUAGGCAAAGUUAAAGUAGAUAUUAGUUGUAGCCGGUGCGGCGGCUUGUAGUCCCAAGAUCAUGCCGAACGCAGCGGUGACGGAGAGGCUGUAAAUUCAUCCUGUGACGACAGUUGUCAAAAGGUACCGCAGCUUCGCCGGAUACCCAAAACCAGUUGUGAAAUCAUCCCAAGUCUAGGUUAAAAAGAAGAAGUCUUUUCGCGGAAGAGGACGAAAUGCUGCGGUGGAGAGGCUGUUUGCGAACGUUGAGUUCCUUCUGAACACGCCGCAAGAUAAGAAGCCAGGAGAGAAACAAAAGUGUCCGGAAGUUGCGACGCCCAUAACGCAUCCGGAGGAUUUCCUGCCGAUCAAGCUGUUUGUGCCCGAUUCCAGACCAGCUGUACGCGAAAUACACGAUGAAGCGACUGUCCAAGUCUGGGAGGAAUGGUACAUCAUGGCCCAGCUCGGAGUGGAUCGUCCAGCUGCACUAUGCCUUUCAGGAUGCCAAGUAUCUGUAGAUGGGGAUGGACUGCAUGCUGGGCGGAGAUAUUGUCGGUUUGAUUAACGAUUACGGAAUCCCGGAGAAGUGGUUCAUCUUUUAAAAGGAGGAGGUCGUGCUAGCGAAUCCAUUGGCAAGAGAAGCCGGACAACAUGCUGCUGGACAAACACGGUCACCUGAAGCGUCCCGAUUUCGGAACGUAAAUGCGAAUGUUCCCGGACGGGCGAAAGCAGUCGGAACACCCGACAACAUCAGUCCGGAAGGCUGCAAUUCCCAGGUGCUCAAGGUGGUUAUGGGCGCGGGUGCGACUGGUGGUCCAUUCCUGUAUGAAAUCUUAAUCGGUGAUACGCACUAAGUACGUACGGCAAGAUUAUGGACUACAAAAAAUCGCUGCAUUUCCCGGAUGACACCCAAAUCAGCGACAAUGACAAAUCGCUUAACAACAAGUCUGCUUCGAUAACCGAACCAAUCGAAACCAUCACGUUCGGCAUCGAUCAUCCAACAAUGCCGAACUGCUUCGAAUGGAGAACAGCUUCAGCGUAAACGGAACACGAUCGAAAAGCAGUAGCGGACACUCCGGCAGCAGAUCAAACUGAUAACUCAGCGCUGCAGGAACAGUAGAAGACCGAAACGGAAGUGAGUCAAAAGCUGAAGAAGUAAGGGGCCGAACUGCGUCUCAGCAAAACCGACGUCGAGCAUAAGGCGUCCGAACUGGCGUCGAUGCUAGCUGGACUGCAAGCCGCUCGAGACGCUCUCCAACAGAACGUGGCCGAUCCAUAGACCCGUCUGGCCCACGAACACAACGCGCGCGCAAUAACGGAACUGCAAAAGGAACUUCAAGGAAAGCUACACUUGCUCGGUGGUGUUCAGGAACAGUCCGUUAUGCGGGAACAGCAAGCCCUCGAGGAAAACCACUGCCGGUUGGAUCGGAUCUCCGACCUGGAGAAGAAAACCGUAUCCAUCGAGUGCCAACUGAAAGUCGUACAGAACCGGUAACACCAGGGAACGGAAAGUCCCGACAGCUGGACAAUGAGAAAGCCAACAUGGAGGAGGUCAAAGGUCUACAAACCAAGUCGCCCGCCAAAUGGUCGAGCAAAACUAGCAGGAAGAUGAACACCAGAUAUCGAUACUGUCGUUGGACUACCGGCAGAUUCAGCAGCGGCUGCAGAAGCUCGAGGGCGAGUACCGGCAGGAAUCGGAGGUAGCCCACCUCAGUGCGAAGGAGAGGCAGCUAGUCAAAAGUGUGCAGCAGCUCCGGGAGAUGAAGCAGGUCCACACAGUAAUGCCGAUUCACCAUGCCUAGCCAUCAAAAUCACCACAUCUGAGGCCGUCAAGCGCAGCACAGUGCAGUUUUACAUGCACUCCGAACAGUACCAACAGGUGCCGACUGCACAAAAUCAAUAAAAAGAGAAGCAAUUGUUGCAUUAAAUAAAAAAAGAUUUAAAUAAAUAAAACUCAUUUAAAGUGGCCUAUUUUGAUUUAUUUAACGACGAUGUAUUGCACAUUUACCUUCCGGAACCGUUUUUUUGCUUUUUCUGCGAUUUUCCCGGCUCCGAUCGCAUCUCAAUUUUGAGAUCGAGUAGCCCAUCUCAACGUUGAGAUCGAGUUGCUCAUCUCAACGUUGAGUGGUUUCACUUUUAGCCGGUUUGCGACGUUCAUCUCAAAAUUGAGAUCGCCUGGUUAGCGUGUAAUUUAAUCAAACUCGCUCUAACGGGUUUAACCGUAUAUAUGUUUUGACGUUUCUCCAAAUCAGCUGUUUUGCUUUCAGUGCAGU